UACGUAGGGGGCAAGCGUUGUCCGGAUUUACUGGGCGUAAAGAGCGUGUAGGCGGCCAAGCAGGUCCGUUGUGAAAACUGGAGGCUUAACCUCCAGACGUCGACGGAAACCGCGUGGCUAGAGCCCGGAAGAGGAGAGUGGAAUUCCUGGUGUAGCGGUGAAAUGCGCAGAUAUCAGGAAGAACACCAAUGGCGAAGGCAGCUCUCUGGGACGGUACUGACGCUGAGGUGCGAAAGCUGGGGGAGCAAACCGG
rnacentral:rRNA from 1 species